rnacentral:tRNA from 1 species
GGUGGCUCAAUGUUAGAGUGCUUGCCUUGCAUGUAUGAAACCCUGAGUUCAAUUCCUCAGCACCA